GAGUGGAUCCUGAGUACGACGGAGCACGUGAAAUUCCGUCGGAAUCUGGGAGGACCAUCUCCUAAGGCUAAAUACUCUCUAGUGACCGAUAGUGAACCAGUACCGUGAGGGAAAGGUGAAAAGCACCCCGGAAGGGGAGUGAAAUAGAACCUGAAACCGUGUGCUUACAAGUAGUCAGAGCCCGUUAAUGGGUGAUGGCGUGCCUUUUGUAGAAUGAACCGGCGAGUUACGAUUUGAUGCAAGGUUAAGCAGUAAAUGUGGAGCCGUAGCGAAAGCGAGUCUGAAUAGGGCGUUUAGUAUUUGGUCGUAGACCCGAAACCAGGUGAUCUACCCUUGGUCAGGUUGAAGUUCAGGUAACACUGAAUGGAGGACCGAACCGACUUACGUUGAAAAGUGAGCGGAUGAACUGAGGGUAGCGGAGAAAUUCCAAUCGAACCUGGAGAUAGCUGGUUCUCUCCGAAAUAGCUUUAGGGCUAGCCUCAAGUGAUGAUUAUUGGAGGUAGAGCACUGUUUGGACGAGGGGCCCCUCUCGGGUUACCGAAUUCAGACAAACUCCGAAUGCCAAUUAAUUUAACUUGGGAGUC
rnacentral:rRNA from 1 species